rnacentral:rRNA from 1 species
UGGGGAAUAUUGCACAAUGGGCGCAAGCCUGAUGCAGCCAUGCCGCGGGUAUGAAGAAGGCCUUCGGGUUGUAAAGUACUUUCAGCGGGGUGGAAGGGAGUAAAGUUAAUACCUUUGCUCAUUGACGUUACCCGCAGAAGAAGCACCGGCUAACUCCGUGCCAGCAGCCGCGGUAAUACGGAGGGUGCAAGCGUUAAUCGGAAUUACUGGGCGUAAAGCGCACGCAGGCGGUCUGUCAAGUCGGAUGUGAAAUCCCCGGGCUCAACCUGGGAACUGCAUUCGAAACUGGCAGGCUAGAGUCUUGUAGAGGGGGGUAGAAUUCCAGGUGUAGCGGUGAAAUGCGUAGAGUUCUGGAGGAAUAACGGUUGCGAAGGCGGCCCCCUGGACAAAGUCUUACGCUCAGGUGCGAAAGCGUGGGGAUCAAACAGG